rnacentral:rRNA from 1 species
UACGGGGGAGCAAGCGUUGUUCGGAUUUACUGGACGUAAAGGGCGCGGUAGGCGGUCGUGACAAGUCACUUGUGAAAUCUCCGGGCUUAACUCGGAACGGUCAAGUGAUACUGUCGGACUAGAGUACAGAAGGGGCAACUGGAAUUCUCGGUGUAGCGGUGAAAUGCGUAGAUAUCGAGAGGAACACCUGCGGCGAAGGCGGGUUGCUGGGCUGAUACUGACGCUGAGGCACGAAAGCGUGGGGAGCAAACAGG